CUUAACCGAACAGGGAAAUAACAGUUUGUCUACGCAAGAUAAAACAUCAAUAGCACACACAAUUGUGUUGUUUAUUGACAAGGCAAUCUUCUUAUUCUGUAAGUAUGUUUUUAAAGAGUUUAAAGGUUAUGAUCAACAGAUUAAACAAAUAGUAAUUGAGCUUAGCUAUAUGCACUUAACUUUAUUGUUGUUAGAUUAUAAUUUUAACAGAAUUUAAUCUGUGUGCACUUUUGUGUACAUAGAGUCAAUAUACGACCGAAUUCUAUUAAAGAAAAACAACUGUCUUAUUUUUCACGUUGUAGUAUAACGAUAUAAUGGUAUAUGUUAACCAAACUAAAUAAACUGAAAAUAUUCAAUACUUUUAUUUGAAGUACUUUUUUGUCCUCUACACGGACACAAACUCUAAGAUGUUGGAAAGAAAAAGUACGUUCUGUUUUGUAUGCUUUGUUUACAGGAAAAGCUCGUGCUUUGGUUUUUUUCAAUCUAAUUACUAAUUAUCAGACAGCUCCUUUUCUAUUUUGCAUUAUGUUUAAAGUGGUUCAUACUUUUAUUUCCAAGUGCGUAUUAAAGAUUUUCAUAUUCAUGAAUAUCAUAUUUUUUAUGACGAUUUGUACCUAUAUUCUAUUUUUUAUAAGCCAUACUUUUAUUUUACUUCACAUUUGACUAGACAUGUUAAAGCAAGUUUUUCGCAUGUAAAUGUAAAACUGUGUGUGUGUGUGUGUGUAAUGCAUGUUACUAUUAAAGAGUGAUAAAACAUUAAUACAUCAACAAAGAGUGAUGAAUGCCAUCUUUGGAAGAUACAAGAAAACAUUAGCAAACCAACACAGAGAGAUUGAUAUCAUAGCAUUGCAUCUACGGAUCGAGUAAAAAAAUAUUAAUACAUCCACGUAGAGAGAGAGAGAAAUGGAUAUCAAAGCAUUACAUCAAUGGAAGAACAAAGAGAAUAUUAAUAAAUCCACAGAGAUGGAUAUAAAAUAGGGAUGUCAAAAGAUCUAAAAUUUAAUACUCGGAUGAAUCUAAAACGUCUAUUGAAAAGAUUAAGUUUUAGGUGGGAUGCGUGUUUUUGUAACUAACUUUCAUAAACAUAUUAAUUGAAGGCAAACGUACUACAAACACAGCAUGGUCCUCUAUUUUUUGUUUUGUUUUGUGUCAAUUAAACAAUGAAUUACCGACCGCCGUUUCUACAAAUAACCUAUCAUAAUAGCAAUUAUUGUUUGUGUACGUCUCCAUGAACCAAAUUCCAAUAAAAGAAAAACACUUUUUUGCAUAUGAAUUCCGACAAAGUAGACAAUAUAUGUAUCAUCUGUUCCUGAGGAGUUGAUACUUUUUAUAAUACGACUUGUUCAUUAAUUUGUCACCAACAAUAUUGGACUUAAAAUAACUUAUGCUUUUUCGUAAUGCUCAGUCUUACUUUUUUCUGUGUUUGUUUGUCGUUUGUCUGAAUUUCUGUUUUUUAGCCAAGACGUUUACAGUUUUAUUUUUCGACUUUUGGGUUUGAAUGUCGCUCUCGUACUUUCGCCUAUUUUUAAAUUGUAAAUUAAACAAUUAUAGAUUAAAGUUUCAUUUACAGAGUAUUUAAAUUAAUUUAUGUACAUCUCAUACCAAUCACGUUUACACGGAAGUCUUGAUUAACAAACAAAGGUAAGUUUUUACUGCUUGUGAUGAGUUAAUAAUUAAUCCAUGAAAGUGUUGAUCCGAGUACAAACACCGUUACAAGUGGCUCUAAUCAGUUAUGUAGGAUUCACCGCAGGUCACUUUAAUUUGUUCUUGUUCAGAAAUAUAAUCUGGUCAACAAUUUCAGACGAAAGACUAGUUAACUUUUUAUUUUUGUUACAAGUUGUCCAAUUGAAAACAUUCCCUCGGAAGGAAAGGACGUUGCAGCAUGGUACUACUAUAACAAAUAGUAUCCUCAUGAUAAACAUAUUUAUGUUGUUAAUUGAUUUUUUUAGUAUUACGAGGGGGAUAUUUCAACGGAACUAAAGUGAGUGGAAAUUUGAAGAGAAAUAUCUCAAGAUGUAUAACACGCAAACGAGUAUCCGAGUACUAAAACUGUACUCGAGUACUUGGCCUUCCGAGCGAGUACCCGAGUACUCGAGUACUCGUUGCCAUUCCCUAAUAUAAAAGCAUUACAUAUACGGAAAAGAAAAGAGAAUAUUAAUACAUCCACGUAGAGAGAGAUGGAUACCAUAGCAUAACAUCUACGGAAGAGGAAAGAGAAUAUUAAUACAUGCACGUAAUGAGACAUGGAUACCAAAGCAUAAAAUCUACGAAAGAGAAAAGAGAAUAUCAAUACAUAUACGUAGAGAGAGGUGGAUAUCAAAGCAUAACAUCUACGGAAGAGGAAAGAGAAUAUCAAUGUAUCCACAUAGUGAGAGAGAGAUGAAUACCAAAGCAUAAGAUCUAUGGAAGAGGAAAGAGAAUAUUAAUACAUCUACGUAGAGAGACAGAGAUGGAUACCAAAGCAUUAGAUCUACGGAAGAGGAAAGAGAAUAUCAAUACAUCUACGUAGAGAGAGAGAGAUGGAUACCAAAGCAUAAGAUCUACGGAAGAGGAAAGAGAAUAUUAAUACAUCUACGUAGAGAUGGAUAUCAAUAGUUAUCAAAAGUACCAGGAUUAUAAUUUAAAACGCCAGACGCGCGUUUCACCUACAUAAGACUCAUCAGUGACGCUCAGAUCAAAAUAGAGAAAAUAGAAAGACAAACAAGUACAAAGUUGAAGAGCAUUUACAACUGGAAGAAAUAAGAAAAUAUUAAUACACCCACAGAGAGGGGUAUAAAGUAGAACAAUUACAUUUACUGUAGAAGAAAAAAGAGACUGAUAUCAAAGCAUUACAUCUACGGAAUCCAUUGCUGUACCACAAUAAGGACAUUACUCGAAAGAAAAGGGAAAACAUUACAAAUGCAUUAUAUUUGUAUUUCCAAAGGUGGUUUCUAAAUUUAGUAAUUAAUAAUAUGAAUGUGGAUCUACUAACAACUUUUCAAAAGACAAAACGAGAUAUAAGGUAUUUUUUUUCUCACAAAAAUCAGUCGGUUAUUAAUUCUUUGUGCACAAAACAGCACUAAAACUUUAUUCGGUCACAAUCAGAGUCUAUUCACGUUAAAAUUAAGUGCACGGCUCAAUUACUCUUUAUAAUAUUGCUCAUGAACUUUUAAACUAGUCCGGUGUGCAUUUGACACAAAUUCAACAGAAAAAACGUAAAAGAAUACUAAAAUUUUCCUAGUCAGCAAACAACACAAUAGUUUUUGUGUCUGAUGUUUUAUUUUGCGUAGUCAGGACAACCGGUUUUGAAUAGAUGUGUCAAUGAUAUAUAAACAACUGAACGCCAUAUGUCCCAAACACCCGUCAUUCCCUGUUCGAUUAAACACCAAAAAUAAAGUAAAUAUAAUACAAUACGACAUUUUAUGCGUUACAUUGUUAUGUACUUUUCAGGAUUUUCACAAUAACUAACAAUCUUUACGUUUAAUAUUGUGCAUUAAUUAUCAUAUUUUACAGUAACAUUUGAAAUAACUAUACAACAUGUAAGCUAUACUAGCAAAAUUUAAUAGAAAGAACGAUAGCUUUUGAUAAAAGGAAGUUAUAAGAGGGGAUUAAAUAUGUUAAAAUGCUAUUUUCAACACUGCACAUUUUGCUUUCCAAUCGUUUAUUUCAUUAUUUGACCGUAUAUGAUGAAGAUUAUUCGGAAAAUCGCGCACACAACAAUUUUAUCAUAUAUUGUCAUAUACUUUAAGUGAACAUAUAAAUCCCUAUCAGAAUGAAAAUAUUCAAGAUACUGUGCGCCAUAUUGGUGAUGCUAAUGGCAAUUUUAGUAGAAACAGCAAGUGGAUUACCACUUUGGGGACGGUAUGAAAAUAACAGGAUAAAAAAAUAUGCUAAUGACAACACUUUGGAAAUGGCCGUAGGAUAACUGGUAAUGACAAAACAAAAGAAUUGAUAAUACAUAUAGAGUUUUAUAAUAAUAAUAAUAAUAAUAAUAAUAAUAAUAAUAAUAAUAAUAAUAAUAAUAAUAAUAAUAAUAAUAAUAAUUAUAAUAAUAACAACAACAACAAUUAUAAUAAUAAGAAGAAUAAUUAUUAUUUAUCAUUUAGGUAAACCUUUGCAAUAUGAAAAUUAUCAAGAUUCUGUGUGCGAUAUGCAUGAUGCUAUUAUCAGUUUUAGCAGUAACAGCUAGUGGAAAGCCUCCUCGCGGAAGACUUGAAUUUAACAGAGUAAAAAGAGAUGCCAUUGACAACACUUUGAAUAGAAUGGUGAGAUAACUGGUAAUAACAAUCAAAAAGAUUAUUUUAUAGAGUUUUUAAAUUACAACAACAACAACAACAACAAUAAUAAUGAUAAUAAUAAUAAUUUUAUUAUUAUUAUAGAUUAUCUUUGAUCAUCUCAACGAGAUUGAUUUUCUCGCUUGAGCCGGGACGGUUGAGAUGAUCAAUGAUAAUCAUUUUACCGCUGUUUUACAUAUGUCGACGUUGUCUAUUUCACGUCAAUUUCAUUAGCAACUCCACGUGCCUCCUUAGUUUCUAGCGAUAACUUUCCAUCUCAAGCGAGUAGCAUAAUAUGAAAAAUUAUUACAAAACAAGAUAAAAGGGAAAAUGCACAAAAUAGCGAUAAUAAUAAUAAUAAUAAAAAAAAAAUAAUAAAAAUAAAAGUAAUGAUAAUAAUAAUAAAAAAAUAAUGUAAAUUGUAAUUUUUCAGGUGGGAAGAGAUUAGUGGAUUCGUGACACCACACACUGGAUCUUUCAUCAUUGAAGCUGAACUAUAUAUGUUUUGAAUUAAAGUUGGUCUCUGUAUUAGUU
rnacentral:lncRNA from 1 species